GUACGGUAGUGUGCUAAACAGAGUCAGUACGGUAGUGUACUAAACAGAGUGAGUACGGUAGUGUGCUAAACAGAGUGAGUACGGUAGUGUGCUAAACAGAGUGAGUACGGUAGUGUGCUAAACAGAGUGAGUACGGUAGUAAACAGAGUUAGUACGGUAGUAAACAGAGUGAGUACGGUAGUGUAGUAAACAGAGUGAGUACGGUAGUGUGCUAAACAGUGAGUACGGUAGUGUAGUAAACAGAGUGAGUACGGUAGUGUGCUAAACAGAGAGAGUACUGUAAUGUACUAAACAGAGUGAGUACGGAAGUAAACAGAUAUGGUAGUGUGCUAAACAGAGCGAGUACGGUAGUAAACAGAGUGAGUAGUGUACUAAACAGAGUGAGUACGGUAGUGUACUAAACAGAGUGACUACGGUAGUGUACUAAACAGAGUGAGUACGGUAGUGUACUAAACAGAGUUAGUACGGUAGUGUCCUAAACAGAGUGAGUAAGGUAGUGUGCUAAACAGAGUGAGUACGGUAUUGUAGUAAACAGAGUGAGUACGGUAGUGUACUAAACAGAGUGAGUACGGUAGUGUAGUAAACAGAGUGAGUACGGUAGUGUGCUAAACAGAGUGAGUACGGUAGUGUAGUAAACAGAGUGAGUACGGUAGUGUACUAAACAGAGUGAGUAUGGUAGUGUGCUAAACAGAGUGAGUACGGUAGUAAACAGAGUGAGUAGUGUACUAAACAGAGUGAGUACGGUAGUGUACUAAACAGAGUGAGUAAGGUAGUGUAGUAAACAGAGUGAGUACGGUAGUGUGCUAAACAGAGUGAGUACGGUAGUGUACUAAACAGAGUGAGUAUGGUAGUGUGCUAAACAGAGUGAGUACGGUAGUAAACAGAGUGAGUAGUGUACUAAACAGAGUGAGUACGGUAGUGUACUAAACAGAGUGAGUACGGUAGUGUACUAAACAGAGUGAGUAAGGUAGUGUGCUAAACAGAGUGAGUACGGUAGUAAACAGAGUGAGUACGGUAGUGUACUAAACAGAGUGAGUACGGUAGUGUACUAAACAGAGUGAGUACGGUAGUGUACUAAACAGAGUGAUUACGGUAGUGUGCUAAACAGAGUGAGUACGGUAGUGAACACAGUGAGUACGGUAAUGUGCUAAACAGAGUGAGUACGGUAUUGUAGUAAACAGAGUGAGUACGGUAGUGUACUAAACAGAGUGAGUACGGUAGUGUACUAAACAGAGUGAGUACGGUAGUGUGCUAAACAGAGUGAGUACGGUAGUGUAGUAAACAGAGUGAGUACGGUAGUGUGCUAAACAGAGUGAGUACUGUAAUGUACUAAACAGAGUGAGUACGGUAGUAAACAGAGUGAGUACGGUAGUGAAGUAAACAGAGUGAGUACGGUAGUAAACAGAGUGAGUACGGUAGUGUACUAAACAGAGUGAGUACGGUAGUAAACAGAGUGAGUACGGUAGUGUACUAAACAGAGUGAGUACGGUAGUAAACAGAGUGAGUACGGUAGUAAACAGAGUGAGUACGGUAGUAAAAUGAGUGAGUACGGUAGUAAACAGAGUGAGUACGGUAGUGAAGUAAACAGAGUGAGUACGGUAGUGUACUAAACAGAGUGAGUACGGUAGUGUACUAAACAGAGUGAGUACGGUAGUGUACUAAACAGAGUGAGUACGGUAGUGUACUAAACAGAGUGAGUACGGUAGUGUGCUAAACAGAGUCAGUACGGUAGUGUACUAAACAGAGUGAGUACGGUAGUAAACAGAGUGAGUACGGUAGUGAAGUAAACAGAGUGAGUACGGAAGUGUACUAAACAGAGUGAGUACGGUAGUGUACUAAACAGAGUGAGUACGGUAGUGUACUAAACAGAGUGAGUACGGUAGUGUUCUAAACAGAGUGAGUACGGUAGUGUACUAAACAGAGUGAGUAAGGUAGUGUGCUAAACAGAGUGAGUACGGUAUUGUAGUAAACAGAGUGAGUACGGUAGUGUACUAAACAGAGUGAGUACGGUAGUGUAGUAAACAGAGUGAGUACGGUAGUGUGCUAAACAGAGUGAGUACGGUAGUGUAGUAAACAGAGUGAGUACGGUAGUGUACUAAACAGAGUGAGUAUGGUAGUGUGCUAAACAGAGUGAGUACGGUAGUAAACAGAGUGAGUAGUGUACUAAACAGAGUGAUUACGGUAGUGUACUAAACAGAGUGAGUACGGUAGUAAACAGAGUGAGUACGGUAGUGUACCAAACAGAGUGAAGUGAGUAGUGUACUAAACAGAGUGAGCACGGUAGUGUAGCAAACAGAGUGAGUA
rnacentral:lncRNA from 1 species